GUGCAUCCGGUUACAGAGAGGAGAUAUGAGAGGAUGUCCAUUUGCAGGGAAGAUAAUCAGGCUGCUGAAGCAAGCACGAACUGUCGGUGGAGUACGAGGAUGGAGGUUUUCAAAGAUCCAGAAAGACAGCCUGGAAACAAUAUAGUCCUAAACAACCGAUCUCAAGCAGGUUAUGCAUCGUCCUCGGGCUCAGACCAUUCACCUUCUAGUUCGACUUCUGAUGCACAGGACCGGACU
rnacentral:misc_RNA from 1 species